CCAUCCCAGAGCCUGCCCAGGGCCAGUCUGGAGCCACAGCAUCUGUGAGGUGCCUCUGCUACCUGUGCUGCCCUCCUCGGGGAGUGUCUACUGCCCAACCCACCAGUUGACUUGCUGGAUGCAAUGAAUCUGCUAUUGUCCACCUCCAGGCUUCUCAAAUACUUCUUGUCCAAAUUCUGUGUGGUUGCUCCCCUCUACACGGGAAAAAAGGGACUUUUUCUUCUGAGCCAGGCUUUGAAAAUGUCAAGGACACAGACUUCAAGACGUCAGCUUGGAGGCAGAGACUGGACCUUCACCAGACACAAAACCUACUGGUGCCUUGAUCUUAAACUUCCUUCCCAGCCUCCAGAACUAUG